UACGGGGGGGGCAAGCGUUGUUCGGAAUUACUGGGCGUAAAGGGCUCGUAGGCGGCCAACUAAGUCGGACGUGAAAUCCCCAGGCUCAACCUGGGAACUGCGUCUGAUACUGGAUGGCUUGAAUUCGGGAGAGGGAUGCAGAAUUCCAGGUGUAGCGGUGAAAUGCGUAGAUAUCUGGAGGAAUACCGGUGGCGAAGGCGGCAUCCUGGACCAUUACUGACGCUGAGGCGCGAAAGCUAGGGGAGCAAACGGG
rnacentral:rRNA from 1 species